CAGGCAAAUCUCGUUAUUCUUCGCUGGGUUUUGGCUAAGGUAAUCCCCAACCAUAGUGGGCUUGGAGCUGUGAGGGAAUUCAGAGUGGCCACCCGUUCUGAAAGUUUGAUUUUCUUCUGGUGAACUGGACAUCCUUUUAUUUAGGUUUGAAGUUUUGGGAUUUUUUUUAAAUGUAAUAAGGCUGCUUAAUUAUUUUUGAUGGUUUUAAUAUGUAUUACUAAGAUAGGUAUUACUUAUUUUAACUGUUAAAAUUGGAUAGCUUUAGGGCGCGUUUUCAAAAACAACAA